GUACGACAUUGCUGUUGGGUACAGGCUGUCCUUCACUCCAGGUUGUGUGUGCUCUAGAUCGCCUGCACAUUCACAGUUUAUUGAUGACGGAUAAAGCUGUGAGUAACUGAACCCGUGUGUUUGGUGCUCUACUUCGGGUGCAUCUGCUUGUGAGCAUUUCGUUGCUGUGGACUGCAGGGUGAAUGCUCCUUAGACAGCGUUAAGACUGCACUGUUUGUUCUGCUGCUAUUUUUACGACUGAGCUGAAGGCCCCAGUGAGGGAAGCUAGCUGUCUUGGCCCUGUGGUGGUGGUG